rnacentral:rRNA from 1 species
UACGUAGGGUGCUAGCGUUGUCCGGAAUCAUUGGGCGUAAAGAGCGUGUAGGCGGCCCGGUAAGUCCGCUGUAAAAGUCAAAGGCUCAACCUUUGAAUGUCAGUGGAUACUGCCGGGCUAGAGUCCGGAAGAGGCGAGUGGAACUCCUGGAGUAGCGGUGGAAUGCGCAGAUAUCAGGAAGAACACCAACGGCGAAGGCAGCUCGCUGGGACGGUACUGACGCUGAGACGCGAAAGCGUGGGGAGCGAACAGG